rnacentral:rRNA from 1 species
GACGAACGCUGGCGGCGUGCUUAACACAUGCAAGUCGAACGGAAAGGCCCUGCUUUUGUGGGGUGCUCGAGGGGCGAACGGGUGAGUAGCACGUGAGUAACCUGCCCUUGACUGUGGGAUGACUUCAGGAAAGUGGGGCUAAUACCGGAUAGGAGCUCCUGCUGCAUGGUGGGGGUUGGAUAGUUUCGGCGGUUGGGGAUGGACUCGCGGCUUAUCAGCUUGUUGGUGGGGUAGUGGCUUACCAAGGCUUUGACGGGUAGCCGGCCUGGGAGGGUGGCCGGCCACAUUGGGACUGAGAUACGGCCCAGACUCGUACGGGAGGCAGCAGUGGAGAAUAUUACACAAUGGGCGGAAGCCUGAUGCAGCCACGCCGCGUGCGGGAUGACGGCCUUCGGGUUGUAAACCGCUUUCGCCUGUGACGAAGCGUGAGUGACGGUAACGGGUAAAGAAGCACCGGCUAACUACGUG